UGCAUUAGGGCUCAGAUUUUGCCAUUCGAACAUGCAAAAGGAAAGCGAUAUCGCCAUGGCUGCAGAUACAGAUUUACAAAUGAUGCCAUCUUGGGUCGCCCCGCCAAGAUACGGAUCUGAUCUUCUCAAUGCAGUGAAAAUCAUCAUCACUGCCCAUUUUUUCAUAUCAAUCGACAUUCUAGUAAAUGGGCUACUUAGUUGUUUGAUGGCUAAAUUAUCAUCACAGACACUUUUUAAAGAUAGG
rnacentral:lncRNA from 1 species